GUGUCAGCAGCCGCGGUAAGACGAACCGUGCGAACGUUAUUCGGAAUCAUUGGGCUUAAAGAGCGCGUAGGCGGCGACGUAAGUUGGAAGUGAAAUCCCAUCGGCUCAACCGUGGAAUCGCUCCCAGUACUGCGUUGCUCGAGGGAGAUAGGGGCCUGUGGAACUGCCGGUGGAGCGGUGAAAUGUGUUGAUAUCGGCGGGAACGCCAGUGGCGAAAGCGACAGGCUGGACCUUUUCUGACGCUGAGGCGCGAAAGCUAGGGGAGCAAACGGGAUUAGAUACCCCAGUAGUCC
rnacentral:rRNA from 1 species